GCCGGGCGUGGUGGCGGGCGCCUGUAGUCCCAGCUACUUGGGAGGCUGAGGCAGGAGAAUGGCUUGAACCCAGGAGGCUGAACUUGCAGUGAGCCGAGAUCGCCCCACUGCACUCCAGCCUGGGCGACAGAGCGAGACUCUGUCUCAA
rnacentral:SRP_RNA from 2 species